rnacentral:lncRNA from 1 species
AGAACUUUAAACAAAGAAAAAUUGAGAAAAAAAAAAACAACGAAUAGGUAUCAUUAUAUUCAUACCCUUUUGAAAAUUAAUGCCAAAAUAGAAGUAAGAGUGGGAAGAAUUGAACCUGAGACUGCUUCUUUUAAAUGAGUAAACUCGACGAAUACAAAGAUAUGCUCAGACUGACUGUGUGCAUGACCCGUCUAAAUGAGAAGGAAAGUGCUGAUCUUUUUUGAAUUCAAUGGACUAUUUCUCCUCUAAUGGUCCCUUUAUCUGGUUCUCUGCUUUUCGCUUUCUCUCCCACCUUUCUGCUAGUUGUUUCUUCUUCUUUUAAAGAAGGUAGGUAGUUACCUAAUAUUGUGCCAAG